rnacentral:miRNA from 1 species
UCUUUCACCGGCCGAGAGGAAUCCCUCUCGGUCGAUGAGAGCGUACAGCCCCUUGACAGAAAUAAUGGAAUCCCUCCACCCAAUUUCAGCAGGCAUGGGUUCAGUUUUUUCUGUCAAGGGGCUGUACACUCUCAUCGACCGAGAGGGAUUCCUCUCGGCUGGUGAGAGU